AUGACAUAAUACGGUGAAGAUCCAUAUAUGAAAUGUUACUUCACUUCUUUCGGCAUUAAAGAUGCCAUAACCAUCUGCUCUAUUCGGCAGGAGUCCACCAAAUCCGUUACAUUAGUAUACCCAACCUUUACAUACCAAUAACCAGAAUUAUUGAUGCAAGAAGAAGCAUCCACAUAAAGUGGAGAACUCUGUACUGGAUCUUCACAG
rnacentral:misc_RNA from 1 species